rnacentral:misc_RNA from 1 species
AUAUUUGGUUCAUUGUAAACUAUCUCAGCUCAUCAUCCCUAGGGACAUCUAUGCUUUCAGCCUAUCAAGAAACAAUGUGGAGAUGGAAAAAGGGAAUGGAACUCAAGGAGUUCUUCAAGGACAACAUCUAUUGCUUCUCAGGCUCGUCUGGAUUUUCCUUGUCAGGAUUUUCCUCUUCUUCCUCUUUCUUCUCUUCCUCCUCCUCAUCUUCUUCAGGGGGAUCACAUGGCAAUGGUGGUGGUAAUGGUGUUUUCAUGGGGCUAAAUUGAGGAAAGAUGUCUGGUCUACGUCCUGGCUUAGGCCUCUCCCACUCAAUUGGGAAAUCGAGAGGAUUGCGACGAGUGAGCUUCUCUUCCUCCGGGGCCAUUCGAACCACCUGCCUCCCCGUUCUCCUUGUACCAAUAAUCAAAUUAGAAGUAGAAAUUGGCUUGAUGGGGAAAGAGCAUCUGCAGCCACCAAAACAGCAACUAUGGCUUGUAGAUGAAGAAGAUAUUGGUAGGUAGGUCGCCGAGGGUAAGACUAGGGUUUUAGAGCUGAAAAGGCAUAUCGACGCCAUGAUCUUUCUCUUCCCCUGAGGUGACGGGUCGGGUCUUACUGAAUCAGCUGGUGGGUGAUUGAGAUUCCACCAAAAUCAAAUAGCCGCCAGCCACA